rnacentral:rRNA from 1 species
AUGGAGCUACCACGUGAGAAGAGCGAGCGAGCAGCCCAGCAAGCUCAACGACCGCCACAGGGGCCAGAGGCGGAGGAGGUGUGGAGCCUAACGGACGAUGACCCGGAGGAGCUCAAGGGUGCGUGGAUCUGGAGUAUGAUUUGCAGCAGCAGCAGAAACCCCCAUCGCCCCACCCCCGCCGCCGAGCAAGCUCAACGACCGCCGCAGGGGCUAGAAGCGGAGGAGGUGUGGUGCGGUGCGCAGUGGGAGGCAGCGUGGUCAUGGAGGGGCGUGGACGGGGAUUUAGGCAUGGGGCUUGCCAAGAGCUUGACGGGUGAUGACUUGGAGGAGCUCAAGGGGUGCGUGGAUAUGGGCUUCGAUUUGCAGCAGCAGCAGCAGCAGAACCCCCACCCCCAACCCCGCCAGAGCCAGGUGGGACUAAAUCAUGACAAGGAGCUUGAGAAGGUUACGGAGGAGGAGGUCGUCAAGGACUCGCGGUGGCGGACAGGGUCACAGUGGCGCCGUGGCUGGAAAGCGAGUGAUCACCUCCACCGCUUAAGUAUAUCCAUCAAUCUCUCUUUCUCAUCCCCAUCUAUCUGCAUCUGUGCUUCACACAUAUGCACAAAGCGAAAGAGAGAAAAAGAGAGAGUGGAAGACACGGAGCUAUCGUGUGAGAAGAGCGAGCGAGCGAGCAGCCCAGCAAGCUCAACGACCACUUCAGGGGCCAGAGGCGGAGGAGGUGUGGUGCAGUGCGCACUGGGAGGCAGCAUGGCCAUGAAGGGCGCGGCUGGUCGUGCUUGCCGGGGAAGUAGGGGCCCUGAACAGCGCCGGGGAUUCAGGCGUGGGGCGUGCCAGGAGCCUGAGGGGCGAUGGCGUGGAGGAUCUCAAGGGGUGCAUGGAUCUGGGGUUCGAUUUGCAGCAGCAGAACCCCCACCCCUCCAACCCCGCCGGAGCGAGGUGGGACUAAAUCACGACAUGGAGAUUGAGAAGGUUACAACGAAGGAGGUAGGAGAGGACUCGCGGCGGCGGACAGGGUCACAGCGGCGCCGUUGCUGGAAAGCGAGCGCCUGGACAAGAUAA